rnacentral:rRNA from 1 species
UGGGGAAUUUUGGACAAUGGGCGAAAGCCUGAUCCAGCAAUGCCGCGUGUGUGAAGAAGGCCUUCGGGUUGUAAAGCACUUUUGUCCGGAAAGAAAUCCUUGGCUCUAAUACAGUCGGGGGAUGACGGUACCGGAAGAAUAAGCACCGGCUAACUACGUGCCAGCAGCCGCGGUAAUACGUAGGGUGCAAGCGUUAAUCGGAAUUACUGGGCGUAAAGCGUGCGCAGGCGGUUUGCUAAGACCGAUGUGAAACCCCCGGGCUCAACCUGGGAACUGCAUUGGUGACUGGCAGGCUAGAGUAUGGCAGAGGGGGGUAGAAUUCCACGUGUAGCAGUGAAAUGCGUAGAGAUGUGGAGGAAUACCGAUGGCGAAGGCAGCCCCCCUGGGGCCAAAUACUGACGCUCAUGCACGAAAAGCGUGGGGAGCAAACAGGAUUAGAUACCCUGGUAGUCCACGCCCUAAACGAUGUCAACUAGUUGUUGGGGAUUCAUUUCCUUAGUAACGUAGCUAACGCGUGAAGUUGACCGCCUGGGGAGUACGGUCGCAAGAUUAAAACUCAAAUGAAUUGACGGGGUCAUAGCUGUUUCCU